rnacentral:rRNA from 1 species
UUGAUCCUGGCUCAGAUUGAACGCUGGCGGCAGGCCUAACGCAUGCAAGUCGAACGGUAACAGGAAACAGCUUGCUGUUUCGCUGACGAGUGGCGGACGGGUGAGUAAUGUCUGGGAAACUGCCUGAUGGAGGGGGAUAACUACUGGAAACGGUAGCUAAUACCGCAUAACGUCGCAAGACCAAAGAGGGGGACCUUCGGGCCUCUUGCCAUCGGAUGUGCCCAGAUGGGAUUAGCUAGUAGGUGGGGUAACGGCUCACCUAGGCGACGAUCCCUAGCUGGUCUGAGAGGAUGACCAGCCACACUGGAACUGAGACACGGUCCAGACUCCUACGGGAGGCAGCAG